rnacentral:tRNA from 2 species
GGAGCGGUACCAAAGCGGUCGUACUGGGGCGGUCUUGAAAACCGUUUAUUCGCAAGAAUACGGGGGUUCGAAUCCCUCCCGCUCCG